rnacentral:rRNA from 1 species
GACGAACGCUGGCGGCGUGCUUAACACAUGCAAGUCGAACGGGCCCGCUCUCUUUUUUGGGGGUGGGUUGAGUGGCGAACGGGCGAGUAUCACGUGAGUAACCUGCCCCCUGCUCCUGGAUAACUGCUUGAAAGGGCGGCUAAUACGGGGUGUGCCGGCUGGUCCGCAUGGGCCUGGUCGGGAUAGUUUCAUCUUCGGGUGUUUCGGUGGGGGAUGGGCUCGCGGCCUAUCAGCUUGUUGGUGGGGUGAUGGCCCACCAAGGCGGUGACGGGUAGCCGGCCUGAGAGGGUGGGCGGCCACACUGGGACUGAGACACGGCCCAGACUCCUGCGGGAGGCAGCAGUGGGGGGUAUUGCACAAUGGGCGGAAGCCUGAUGCAGCGACGGCGCGUGAGGGAUGGAGGCCUUCGGGUUGUGAACCUCUUUCUCCGGUGGUGAAGGCCCUGUCCGUUGCGGCGGGGUUGACGGUAGCCGGGUAUGAAGCGCCGGCUAACUACGUG